UGUCAUAUAUCGAUAUGUCAUAAGAUCCCAUCACAAAAAAGAAUUAGUUGAAUUAAACUUUUAUUAAAUAUAAAACAAAAUAGGCUGUGGUGGUCAAUGACUGCCACCGUAGGUAGACAAAACAAUCCAUAAAACGCGCAGAUCAUCAGCCUACAUAUGUAUUUG